rnacentral:rRNA from 1 species
GAUGAACGCUAGCUACAGGCUUAACACAUGCAAGUCGAGGGGCAGCGGGAUUGCAGCUUGCUUCAAUUGCCGGCGACCGGCGCACGGGUGAGUAACGCGUAUCCAACCUUCCGUACACUCAGGGAUAGCCUUUCGAAAGAAAGAUUAAUACCUGAUGGUAUGAUGAGAUUGCAUGAUAUCAUCAUUAAAGAUUUAUCGGUGUACGAUGGGGAUGCGUUCCAUUAGGUAGUAGGCGGGGUAACGGCCCACCUAGCCAACGAUGGAUAGGGGUUCUGAGAGGAAGGUCCCCCACAUUGGAACUGAGACACGGUCCAAACUCCUACGGGAGGCAGCAGUGAGGAAUAUUGGUCAAUGGACGAGAGUCUGAACCAGCCAAGUAGCGUGAAGGAUGAAGGUCCUACGGAUUGUAAACUUCUUUUAUAAGGGAAUAAACCCUCCCACGUGUGGGAGCUUGUAUGUACCUUAUGAAUAAGCAGCGGCUAACUCCGUG